AUUAUAUAUAUCGGAAAACGAUGGGAGAGGACGGGAGAAAGGAAUGGCUUCCUGGUUUUGCAGAAGCAAUUCCGACAGCCGCCAUUUCUGUAUUCUGAGUGACUCGAGACUCGAACAUAUGCUAACGUUGUCUCGACGUCUGAAUUUCUCGUGACUAACUUGUUCACUCGGUUAGAACAAAUGUCGCACAAUCGCUAUCCUCUUAUUGUAAGAGUGCGAUCGUAACAGUGACUCAAGACCCAAACAUAUGCUGACGUUGUCUCGAUGUCCGAAUUUCUCGUGACUGACUUCUUCGCUUGGUUAGAACGAGUGCCACACAAUCGCUAUCCUGCUAUUGUAAGAGUGUGAUUGUAACAGGUAAAAAUAAUUAUUCUUUAUUGAAUAUGAUAUUCAUUCUCUUAUAAAUUAUUAUAAAUUAACGUCGAAAGUAUAAUAGGAUAGGAUAAUGAUUUGAAAUGAAUUAAUCAUAUUAUAUAUAUUUUAUAGAUUAAUUAACAAAAUUAAAAUAAUAGGAUGGUGGUAUUGAGUAUUAAUACCCUAAUAAUUUGAAUGAAGAACAUGGUUAGUGUGGCUAUAAGUUCAAAAAUUCACCAAAUUAAA